ACACUGCAUCCUUUCCCUCCCGUCCUUCUUCCUUGCUGACACUGCAUCCUUUCCCUCCCCGUCCUUCUUCCUCGCUGACACUGCAUUCUUUCCCUCCCCUCUGCUUCUUCCCUCUUUAGAGCCGACACUCCAUCCCUUCUCUCCUCUGCUUCUUCCCGCUUCCUCGUACACCACUUCCUCUCUCUCUCUCUCUCUCUCUCUCUCUCUCUCUCUCUCUCUCUCUCCCUUAUAUAUAUUGACCCCCCAAGUAAAGCUAGCUUUGGCAGGGGCACGACCACGCACCGCAACCUUUGCCUAGCGCACGGCGAAGAUAGCGGAAGCGUCUUCCAACUCUGGCGAGUGCGUGACAAUAGUAGCGCCAGGAGGGCGACGACGGCCAUAAGCCGCCGACCUCUACAAGUCUCCAGAACAUGGCGGCGACUGCGAUACCAUGGGGGGCUAUAGGUGGAGGAUUGGGUGCAUAUUUUGGUCCCUCGGUAUUAGAUAGGGCGUUUGAUUUUAUAGUAGGGACGGCGGCAGCGGUGGCUGAUCUAACAGCCCGCGGCAUUAAUGGUAUCAUCGAGGCCAUCCCCCCCUCUGCCCCCCAGGUGGACACUGAUGAUCUCCAAAGGCAACUGGUUACGUCUAGGGAGAGAACGGCUGAACUCCAAAGGCAACUGGUUAAGUCUAGGGAGAGAACGGCUGAACUCCAAAGGCAACUGGUUAAGUCUAGGGAGAAAACGGCUGAACUCCAAAGGCAACUGGUUAAGUCUAGGGAGAUAACGGCUGAACUCCAAAGGGAAUUGGAUGAGUGUAUGACGGCAAAGCCUAAACUCAAGGUCGAAUUCGAACUAAAGGUUAAACUCAUUAUGGAACUCGAAUUAAAGAUUAAUCUCCAAUUGGAAAUCGAAGGAACGAUUAGGCUGGAAUUGGAGGAGUGUAAGGUGAGAAAGGAUGAACUCCAAAGGGAAUUGGAGGAGUGUAGGGAGGAAAAGGUUAAACUCCAAUUGAAAUUGGAGGUGUGUAAGGUGAAAAAGGGUGAACUCCAAAGGCAAUUGGAGGACACAAGGAAGGCGAUGUGGGUGUUGGCAAAGGAAAUUGUGGCAGCUACAAAGGCAUAUGAUGCUGAGAAGGCAAAAAUGAUGAAGGAAUUAGAGGAGUUAAAGAGUAAGCAGCUGGGGAAGUAGGACGUGACAAGAAGGCAUACUUAUCAUCUUGCAUCGAUCUCCAAAUGAUUAGUGAUGCCGACCUAUUAUGUUACUACGUAAUCAUGCUCAGUUGGUACUAUAUAUGCAGUAAAUAAAACGGAACAUGUAUAUAUUUCCAUUA